AACGAACGCUGGCGGCAGGCUUAACACAUGCAAGUCGAACGGGUGCAGCAAUGCAUCAGUGGCAGACGGGUGAGUAACACGUGGGAACCUUCCUAGGGGUACGGAACAACUCAGGGAAACUUGAGCUAAUACCGUAUACGUCCGUGAGGAGAAAGAUGUAUCGCCCUUAGACGGGCCCGCGUCGGAUUAGCUAGUUGGUGGGGUAACGGCCUACCCAGGCGACGAUCCGUAGCUGAUCUUAGAGGAUGAUCAGCCACACUGGGACUGAGACACGGCCCAGACUCCUACGGGAGGCAGCAGUGGGGAAUCUUGGACAAUGGGCGCAAGCCUGAUCCAGCCAUGCCGCGUGAGUGAAGAAGGUCUUCGGAUUGUAAAGCUCUUUUGCCAGGGACGAUAAUGACGGUACCUGGAGAAUAAGCCCCGGCAAACUUCGUGCCAGCAGCCGCCGUAAAAC
rnacentral:rRNA from 1 species